rnacentral:rRNA from 1 species
GGGUGCAUUUAUUAGAACAAAACCAACGACCUUCGGGUUGUAUUUUGUUGACUCAGAAUAACUAAGCUGAUCGCAUGGUCUUGUGCCGGCGACGUGUCUUUCAAGUAUCUGCCUUAUCAACUUUCGAUGGUAGUGUAUCUGCCUACCAUGGUGGUGACGGGUAACGGAGGAUAAGGGUUUGACUCCGGAGAAGGGGCCUGAGAAAUGGCCACUACGUCUAAGGAUGGCAGCAGGCGCGCAAAUUACCCACUCUCAGAACGAGGAGGUAGUGACGAAAAAUAACGAGAGCGUUCUCUUUGAGGCCGUUCAUCGRAAUGGGUACAAUCUAAACCCUUUAACGAGUAUCUAUGAGAGGGCAAGUCUGGUGCCAGCAGCCGCGGUAAUUCCAGCUCUCAAAAUGCAUAGAAUUAUUGCUGCGGUUAAAAAGCUCGUAGUUGGAUCUGUGCUGGGGACUUGGUCCACUUUCGGGUGCGUACUGAGAUCCUUGGCUUUUUGUGUCGGUUUUCUCAUCAUGGCUUUAACCGGCUGUGGUGGGUGGCUGACAAUUUUACUUUGAACAAAUCAGAGUGCUUAACACAGGCGUCUAGCUUGAAUGUUCGUGCAUGGAAUAAUAGAAGAGGAUUUCGGUUCUAUUUUAUUGGUUUUAUAGACUGAGAUAAUGGUUAACAGAGACAAACGGGGGCAUUCGUAUCGUUGCGUUAGAGGUGAAAUUCUUGGACCGCAGCGAGACGUACUACAGCGAAAGCAUUUGCCAAGAAUGUCUUCAUUAAUCAAGAACGAAAGUCAGAGGUUCGAAGGCGAUCAGAUACCGCCCUAGUUCUGACCGUAAACGAUGCCAACUAGCGAUCUGCCGGYGGAUUUUUUGCCCUGGUAGGGAGCUUYCCGGAAACGAAAGUMUUCSGGUUCCGGGGGAAGUAUGGUUGCAAAGCUGAAACUUAAAGGAAUUGACGGAAGGGCACCACCAGGAGUGGAGCCUGCGGCUUAAUUUGACUCAACACGGGAAAACUCACCCGGCCCGGACACUGUAASGAUUGACAGAUUGAUAGCUUUUUCAUGAUUUGGUGGAUGGUGGUGCAUGGCCGUUCUUAGUUCGUGGAGCGAUUUGUCUGGUUUAUUCCGAUAACGAGCGAGACUCUAGCCUAUUAAAUAGUCUACACAUUAYYAUUGUGAUGUAGUACUUCUUAGAGGGAUUUUCGGUGUUCAGCCGCACGAGAUUGAGCAAUAACAGGUCUGUGAUGCCCUUAGAUGUCCGGGGCUGCACGCGCGCUACACUGGCGAAAUCAGCGUGCUUUUCCUCUCUCGAAAGGGAUUGGUAAACUGUUGAAAAUUUGCCGUGAUUGGGAUCGGAA